GCCAGACUCCUACGGGAGGCAGCAGUGAGGGAUAUUGGUCAAUGGGGGAAACCCUGAACCAGCAACGCCGCGUGAGGGAAGACGGUUUUCGGAUUGUAAACCUCUGUCCUCUGUGAAGAUAAUGACGGUAGCAGAGGAGGAAGCUCCGGCUAACUACGUGCCAGCAGCCGCGGUAAUACGUAGGGAGCAAGCGUUGUCCGGAUUUACUGGGUGUAAAGGGGGCGCAGACGGCAGCGCAAGCCAGGAGUGAAAGCCCGGGGCCCAACCCCGGGACUGCUCUUGGAACUGCGCGGCUGGAGUGCAGGAGGGGCAGGCGGAAUUCCUGGUGUAGCGGUGAAAUGCGUAGAUAUCGGGAGGAACACCAGUGGCGAAGGCGGCCUACUGGGCACUAACUGACGCUGAGGCUCGAAAGCAUGGGUAGCAAACAGGAUUAGAUCCCCGAGUA
rnacentral:rRNA from 1 species